rnacentral:sRNA from 1 species
UGAACGACGGUAUUGAACGACGAACGGUGGUUAACUACGAACGGUGUCUAAGCCACAGCACAAAACGUAUGAAUAAAAUCGAACUCGGUAGAGCACAAGAAAACAAAAACAAAAAUUAAAAAAAAAAAGAGAAAAAUAUAUAAACGAAACGGACUAUGGUUUAACCAAACGAUUAACAAAGCGUCCACGUUUGAUUAAAAGUAAAAGUGUUUAUCUCCAAUCUUGUUCUAUGCUGAUCUGGACUAAGUGUUACUUGUGUGAGUGAAUGUUUGAAUAGAAUUGUUUGUGUCCAUGUCAAAUUCCCAGUGAGUCUUGGCGAUUGCAAUUCAACAAUUCGUUGCAAUAAACCACCUCUUUGGCCUUUCCCCUCCCGCAAAUCACUUUGGCUAUACAGAGUGACUUGAAAGUGUCAUUAGUUUGCAUCAUUGCAUUGGUUGCCUUGCCCCCUUGCCGUUUGUGAUCUAUCGAAACAGCCGCCAAAAUUGGUCGCCUUACGAAAACAUCAUUUAUUGUAAGUGACCUCAGG